rnacentral:rRNA from 1 species
UGCACCUGCCGGCGAGUGGCGAACGGGUGAGUAACAUAUUGGAAUGUACCGAGUAGUGGGGGAUAACCAAUCGAAAGAUUGGCUAAUACCGCAUACGUCCUGAGGGGGAAAGCAGGGGAUCUUCGGACCUUGCGCUAUUUGAGCAGCCAAUAUCUGAUUAGCUAGUUGGUGGGGUAAGGGCCUACCAAGGCGACGAUCAGUAGCGGGUCUGAGAGGAUGAUCCGCCACACUGGGACUGAGACACGGCCCAGACUCCUACGGGAGGCAGCAGUGGGGAAUUUUGGACAAUGGGGGCAACCCUGAUCCAGCCAUGCCGCGUGUCUGAAGAAGGCCUUCGGGUUGUAAAGGACUUUUGUUAGGGAAGAAAAGGGAAGUGCUAAUACCACUUUUUGCUGACGGUACCUAAAGAAUAAGCACCGGCUAACUACGUGCCAGCAGCCGCGGUAAUACGUAGGGUGCGAGCGUUAAUCGGAAUUACUGGGCGUAAAGCGAGCGCAGACGGUUACUUAAGCAGGAUGUGAAAUCCCCGGGCUCAACCUGGGAACUGCGUUCUGAACUGGGUAGCUAGAGUAUGUCAGAGGGGGGUAGAAUUCCACGUGUAGCAGUGAAAUGCGUAGAGAUGUGGAGGAAUACCGAUGGCGAAGGCAGCCCCCUGGGAUAAUACUGACGUUCAUGCUCGAAAGCGUGGGUAGCAAACAGGAUUAGAUACCCUGGUAGUCCACGCCCUAAACGAUGUCGAUUAGCUGUUGGGCAACUUGAUUGCUUAGU